rnacentral:rRNA from 1 species
CCUACGGGAGGCUGCAGUGGGGAAUAUUGGACAAUGGGGGGAACCCUGAUCCAGCCAUGCCGCGUGUGUGAAGAAGGCCCUCGGGUUGUAAAGCACUUUCAGUGAGGAAGAACGCCUGGUGGUUAAUACCCAUCAGGAAAGACAUCACUCAGAGAAGAGGCACCGUCUAACUCCGUGCCAGCAGCCGCGGUAAUACGGAGGGUGCGAGCGUUAAUCGGAAUUACUGGGCGUAAAGCGCGCGUAGGUGGCUUGAUAAGCCGGUUGUGAAAGCCCCGGGCUCAACCUGGGAACGGCAUCCGGAACUGUCAAGCUAGAGUGCAGGAGAGGAAGGUAGAAUUCCCGGUGUAGCGGUGAAAUGCGUAGAGAUCGGGAGGAAUACCAGUGGCGAAGGCGGCCUUCUGGACUGACACUGACACUGAGGUGCGAAAGCGUGGGUAGCAAACAGGAUUAGAUACCCCAGUAGUC